rnacentral:rRNA from 1 species
GCACGGGCUUCGGCCUGGUGGCGAGUGGCGAACGGGUGAGUAAUACAUCGGAACGUACCCAGAAGUGAGGGAUAACGUAGCGAAAGUUACGCUUAAUACCGCAUACGUUCUACGGAAGAAAGUGGGGGAUCGCAAGACCUCAUGCUUUUGGAGCGGCCGAUGUCUGAUUAGCUAGUUGGUGAGGUAAAGGCUCACCAAGGCGACGAUCAGUAGCUGGUCUGAGAGGACGCCAGCACACACUGGAACUAAAACACGGUCCAGACUCCUACGGGAGGCAGCAGUGGGGAAUUUUGGACAAUGGGCGCAAGCCUGAUCCAGCAAUGCCAGCGUGAGUGAAGAAGGCCUUCGGGUUGUAAAGCUCUUUUGUGCGAGGGAAGAAACGGCAGUUAACAUAAUUCCUUUGCUAAUGACGGU